CCUACUGUAAUGGAGGGUAGGCCGGACAUUGCUCCUAUCAGGCCCUUUUCCGGUUCCUGCUUUGAAGAAUGAAUUCAUUACAUUUUGUGACAACAAAGUACGGGGAAAAGGGAAGAACAAUUGUCCUACCAGCUACCCCUACACCCAUUAAAACCAGCAGCCACCACAAUAUCUAUUUCCUGUGAUUUAUGUUUCAUUUCUGCGGUACAGUUGAUAACCAUGGCAAUGAACGCUAAGAAACCAACCUUGGUGAAACACGUUAUUUCGAUCACUCGGCCCAGCGUCGUUCGGGCACAAUCUACCUGGCACCUCUACAAGCAAGUCAAAACCGUUACACCCAACCCUACCUGAUUGCUUCAAUCAAAUCUCAGCAGUAAGGGCAUCUCCCUCUAUGAAGGCCAUGCCUUUGUAGUCCUCCUCAUCCUGCAGGCCUUCUGCAGCAAUGACCUGCUCAUCUGCUGUCAUUGUCCUGCCUUUCCAAAUCAUGUCCAAUGAAUUGAAUUUACC